rnacentral:rRNA from 1 species
UACGAAGGGGGCUAGCGUUGCUCGGAAUCACUGGGCGUAAAGGGCGCGUAGGCGGCCAUUUAAGUCGGGGGUGAAAGCCUGUGGCUCAACCACAGAAUUGCCUUCGAUACUGGAUGUCUUGAGUUCGGUAGAGGUUGGUGGAACUGCGGGUGUAGAGGUGAAAUUCGUAGAUAUUCGCAAGGACACCGGUGGCGAAGGCGGCCAACUGGACCGACACUGACGCUGAGGCGCGAAAGCGUGGGGAGCAAACAGG